UUGAACGCUGGCGGCAUGCCUUACACAUGCAAGUCGAACGGCAGCACGGGAUUCAGGCAACUGAGCCCUGGUGGCGAGUGGCGAACGGGUGAGUAAUGCAUCGGAACGUGCCCAGUAGUGGGGGAUAACUAGUCGAAAGAUUAGCUAAUACCGCAUACGCCCUACGGGGGAAAGCGGGGGACUUUCGGGCCUCGCGCUAUUAGAUGAGCCUAAGUCCGAUUAGCUAGUUGGUAGGGUAAUGGCCUACCAAGGCGACGAUCGGUAGCUGGUCUGAGAGGACGACCAGCCACACUGGGACUGAGACACGGCCCAGACUCCUACGGGAGGCAGCAGUGGGGAAUAUUGGACAAUGGGCGCAAGCCUGAUCCAGCGAUGCCGCGUGUGUGAAGAAGGCCUGCGGGUUGUAAAGCACUUUCAGUAGGGAAGAAAAGCCGAGUGCUAAUAUC
rnacentral:rRNA from 1 species